AUGAACGCUGGCGGCGUGCCUAAUACAUGCAAGUCGCGCGAACGGACGAGAAGCUUGCUUCUCUGAUGUUAGCGGCGGACGGGUGAGUAACACGUGGAUAACCUACCUAUAAGACUGGGAUAACUUCGGGAAACCGGAGCUAAUACCGGAUAAUAUUUUGAACCGCAUGGUUCAAAAGUGAAAGACGGCCUUGCUGUCACUUAUAGAUGGAUCCGCGCUGCAUUAGCUAGUUGGUAAGGUAACGGCUUACCAAGGCAACGAUGCAUAGCCGACCUGAGAGGGUGAUCGGCCACACUGGAACUGAGACACGGUCCAGACUCCUACGGGAGGCAGCAGUAGGGAAUCUUCCGCAAUGGGCGAAAGCCUGACGGAGCAACGCCGCGUGAGUGAUGAAGGUCUUCGGAUCGUAAAACUCUGUUAUUAGGGAAGAACAUAUGUGUAAGUAACUGUGCACAUCUUGACGGUACCUAAUCAGAAAGCCACGGCUAACUACGUG
rnacentral:rRNA from 1 species